rnacentral:rRNA from 1 species
AUUGAACGCUGGCGGCAGGCCUAACACAUGCAAGUCGAGCGAGCGGCGGACGGGGGAGUAAUGUAUGGGGACUGCCCGAUAGAGGGGGAUAACUACUGGAAACGGUAGCUAAUACCGCAUACUAUCGGAUAACCCAUAGGGGAUUAGCUAGUAGGUGAUGUAAUGGCUCACCUAGGAGACGCUCCCUAGCUGGUCUGUGAGGAUGAUACGCCACACUGGGACUGAGACAGGGCCCAGACUCCUACGGAGGCAGCAGUGGGGAAUAUUGCACAAUGGGCGCAAGCCUGAUGCAGCCAUGCCGCGUGUAUGAAGAAGGCCCUAGGGUUGUAAAGUACUUUCAGUCGGGAGGCGUUACCGACAGAAGAAGCACCGGCUAACUCCGUGCCAGCCGCCGCGGUAAUUC